GCAAACUUGGUCAUUUAGAGGAAGUAAAAGUCGUAACAAGGUUUCCGUAGGUGAACCUGCGGAAGGAUCAUUAUUGAAUAAACUACGUUAAGUUGUUGCUGGUCUUUAGUGACAUGUGCACACUUGACUAUUGUUUUUAACCCCUGUGCACCUUAUGUAGACUUGAAGUCUUUUGAAACAUGUUAUGUUUCGUGUGGGGAAUUGCAUUAGCUUUUCCUGUUACUUCAGUCUAUGUUUUUCACAUACCCCUUUAAAUGUAAUGAAUGUUUAUAAGGCUUUUAUAAGCCUAUAAAAUUUAUACAACUUUCAACAACGGAUCUCUUGGCUCUCGCAUCGAUGAAGAACGCAGC
rnacentral:misc_RNA from 1 species